rnacentral:rRNA from 1 species
UACGGAGGGUGCAAGCGUUAAUCGGAAUUACUGGGCGUAAAGCGCACGCAGGCGGGUUGUUAAGUCAGAUGUGAAAUCCCCGGGCUCAACCUGAGAACUGCAUUUGAAACUGGCAAGCUAGAGUGUGGUAGAGGGAGGUAGAAUUCCAGGUGUAGCGGUGAAAUGCGUAGAGAUCUGGAGGAAUACCGGUGGCGAAGGCGGCCCCCUGGACGAAGACUGACGCUGAGGUGCGAAAGCGUGGGGAGCAAACAGG